rnacentral:misc_RNA from 1 species
UCCGGCUUAUCACCGGCAGUCUCCUCAGAGUUCUCAGCAUUACCUGUUAGCAACAGAGGAUGAGGGUUGCGCUCGUUGCGGGACUUAACCCAACAUCUCACGACACGAGCUGACGACAGCCAUGCAGCACCUGUGCUAGCGUGUAUUGCUACACCCAGUCCGUUUCCGGAAAGGUUCACUAGCAUGUCAAAGCCUGGUAAGGUUCUUCGCGUUGCCUCGAAUUAAACCACAUGUUCCACCGCUUGUGCGGGUCCCCGUCAAUUUCUUUGAGUUUUAAUCUUGCGACCGUACUCCCCAGGCGGGGUGCUUAACGCGUUAGCUACGCCACUGAAGCAUAAGCUCCAACAGCUAGCACCCAUCGUUUAGGGCGUGGACUAC